GAUGUAUGCAGUUUCCUGUCUCCUUACUUAUUUAAUACUUGUAAGAUAGGCAUAACCAACCUUUAAUCAAAAUGAGUUACAGGUGAUGUAUGAGAACAGAGCAAGGUUGCUGUGUACAGCUGAAGCAACUCCUCAAGAACUCUUGGAAAAGAUUGUAACAUCUCCGACGCGAAGUCAAUGUCUCCAAGAACAUCGUCGAGGUCAAGAAAGAACGAUGUUUCCGAGCUCUGCGUGGACAACGAGUUAGGUUUUGCCAAAGAUAGAACCAUCAGCAGAUUAACAGAAAUGAACAGCAAAGAGUACUUGGAGCAGCAUGCCAUAACACAUAAUCUGCAACACACAUAACACACAUACAAGUUCCUGUGUUUUUCUUCUUCUUCAAGGGAUUCAAGUGUAACUUUGGUUGUAUUUUCUGUGUAUCAUUUGAGAACCAUAGAAAAAAUAUAAUACCAUCCAUUGUUGUAACAUUGAAUUUUGAAUUUAUACUAAAAUCCAAAAAAUAUUGCACAUCA